rnacentral:rRNA from 1 species
GAAACCCAAACAGGGAUUGCCUCAGUAACGGCGAGUGAAGCGGCAACAGCUCAAAUUUGAAAUCUGGCCCCCAGGGCCCGAGUUGUAAUUUGCAGAGGAUGCUUUGGGCGCGGCGCCUUCCGAGUUCCCUGGAACGGGACGCCACAGAGGGUGAGAGCCCCGUCUGGUUGGAUGCCUAGCCUAUGUAAAGCUCCUUCGACGAGUCGAGUAGUUUGGGAAUGCUGCUCUAAACGGGAGGUAUAUGUCUUCUAAAGCUAAAAUAUUGGCCAGAGACCGAUAGCGCACAAAGUAGAGUGAUCGAAAGAUGAAAAGCACUUUGAAAAAGAGGGUUAAAUAGUACGUGAAAUUGUUGAAAGGGAAGCGCUUACGACCAGACUUGGGCCCGGCGGAUCACCCGGCGUUCUUCGCCGGGGCACUCCGCCGGCCCAGGCCAGCAUCGGUUUGCCGCGGGGGAUAAAGGCGGCGGGAACGUAGCUCCCUCGGGAGUGUUAUAGCCCGCCGUGUAAUACCCUGCGGCGGACCGAGGACCGCGCAUCUGCAAGGAUGCUGGCGUAAUGGUCGUCAGCGACCCGUCUUGAAACACGGACCAAGGAGUCGUCUUCGUAUGCGAGUGUUCGGGUGGAAAACCCCUACGCGUAAUGAAAGUGAACGCAGGUGAGAGCUUCGGCGCAUCAUCGACCGAUCCUGAUGUUCUCGGAUGGAUUUGAGUAAGAGCAUACGGGGCCGGACCCGAAAGAAGGUGAACUAUGCCUGUAUAGGGUGAAGCCAGAGGAAACUCUGGUGGAGGCUCGCAGCGGUUCUGACGUGCAAAUCGAUCGUCAAAUAUGGGCAUGGGGGGCGAAAGACUAAUCGAACCUUCUAAGUAGCUGGGCUUCCCGCCGAAG